AUGGCAAUUGGCACCUUUCAAAACUAGGGAUUUCUUUAGACAUGAAAGAAAACUGAAAAUGUUGAAAAAAAAGAGCAUACUAAUCUAAAAAUAGGGGGAAAAUACACUUCUUCUUUCUCCUCUUUAUCUUCUUCUUUUUUUUCAUCUUUCUUCUUUCUUCUUAACCAAAACUAAACCUAAAGUUCCUUCUGGUGUGAUCACAUUGGAAUACUUGUGGCAACAAAUCAUAGUUGCACCAUAUUUUAGGUGGCUCUAGGGUGUAGUGUCGUAAAAUCAAUUUACUUUGUAUGCAAAUCAGAAUGUAUAGUUUGCCUUUCCGCAAAAAAGAAAAGGAAAAGACGGGUAUAGUUUGCCUCUUACGACAGAUUCCAUAAGCAAUAUGCAUGCCUUGUUGUUUUCUCAAAUUAAACUAAUUCGAGUGUUGCUGAUUGAUGAAUUUGAAUAUAUGCAAAGGAAUUUGAGGAAAGCUUUUGCUCUUCUCACUAUUAGUUUCAUAAUAUUUUAUACAACCCCUUCAAGGAGUCUGUGGAUAACUUUCGUUUACAGUUCACUAGAUAUGUGUAUUACAUUUUCUAUUGGAAAUGCAUUUGAAUUCAUUUAUGACAAAUACUAAUUCUACCACGACAUGCCAAUUUUUUUUCUUGUAUAUAAAAUAACUCGUGCACUAAUAUUUACUUCACUGAAAGAUUUUUCACUUUGAAGGGAAAUAGUUUUUGUUCCAUCAUCUAUUAAUAAUAUAACAAUAAUAAUUCAUUAUAUGCCAAUGAGUUGAGAAAUCUGGCACUACAUUAUUUAAAUGACACAUAAAAAGCAUAAUGUACUAACUAAUAAGACUACUAGUGAGAAUUGAGAUUAUACACAAUUAUAGUAGAGAAGAUGCUAUCUAUGCUCUAAACCUAAACUAAAGUAAACCUAAACUAAACCAAACCUAAAAUAAACCUAAACUAAA